rnacentral:misc_RNA from 1 species
GAUGAAGAACGUAGCGAAAUGCGAUAAGUAGUGUGAAUUGCAGAAUUCAGUGAAUCAUCGAAUCUUUGAACGCACUUUGCGCCCCUUGGUAUUCCAUGGGGCAUGCCUGUUCGAGCGUCAUUUGUACCUUCAAGCUUUGCUUGGUGUUGGGUGUUUGUCUCGCCUUUGCGUGUAGACUCGCCUUAAAAUAAUUGGCAGCCGGCGUAUUGAUUUCGGAGCGCAGUACAUCUCGCGCUUUGCACUCAUAACGACAGCGUCCAAAAGUACAUUUUACACUCUUGACCUCGGAUCAGGUAGGGAUACCCGCUGAACUUAAGCAUAUCAAUAAGCGGAGGA